GACGAACGCUGGCGGCGUGCUUAACACAUGCAAGUCGAACGGAAAGGCCCUGCUUUUGUGGGGUGCUCGAGUGGCGAACGGGUGAGUAACACGUGAGUAACCUGCCCUUGACUUUGGGAUAACUUCAGGAAACUGGGGCGAAUACCGGAUAGGAUCUUCUGCUGCACGGUGGGGGUUGGAAAGUUUCGGCGGUUGGGGAUGGAUUCGAUGCUUAUCAGCUUGUUGGUGGGGUAGUGGCUUACCAAGGUUUUGACGGGUAGCCGGCCUGAGCGGGCGACCGGCCACAUUGGGACUGAGGUAGGGCCCAGACUGGUACGGGAGGCAGCAGUGGGGAAUAUUGCAGAAUGGGGGGAAGUGUGAUGCAGCAACGCCGCGUGCGGGAUAACGGCCUUCGGGUUGUAAACAGAUUUCGCAUGUGACGAGGAGUGAGUGACGGUAAUGGGUAAAGAAGCACCGGCUAACUACGUG
rnacentral:rRNA from 1 species